UAUUUCUAGAAAUACGUAUUUGUUCUGUAAAAUAUUGCAUAUAUCUCCAGACUUGAGGCUUGUCUUGUCACAUGCUUUAAGGCAUCUUAGGAUGAGGAAAAGUUCCUGAUUUAGUUCAAUCACAUUUAUCUCUCUACUUUAUCAUAUACGGAGAUUUGUUUUUUUCUAAGUCCAUCCUGCCCCUUUGCUGAUAUCUUGGAUCCAGUCACAAAGACUUGAGUGAGUCCUUCACUGAAGCAUUUCCAUUCCUGUGUCUUCUCUACCCCAUGGAGAAAUGAGCCUGCCUGUUCCAUUUAUCAUAAAAGUCCUUAUUCAAUCAAAAAUAAAACACAAUCAUUGGAUUGGAUUAAUUAGGGUUCAAGAAGGCAGGAAUCCCUGGCAAUGGCUGGAUGGCUCACCCCUAUCUCAGCAGCUGAAUUUCCAACAGAGUUUAUCUCCUGUGAAAUGUGGACACAUGAGACCAUCAACAAUUUAUACCGCUGACUGUAGUAACCAUUCCGUUUUACAUGUGCAAGGAGUUCUUCCGGCCCUGAUAAUUAAAGAAGUGCUGUGAUCAAAUAUUUCAGCUAUUUUCAUUCUUUAACAGCUGUAAGGAAAAACCACAGGGUAUUGCACUCAAAUUAGUCAACUACGCGUGGUGUAUGAAGGAUUAUGAUCUUUCACACAUCCCUCAGCAUGGAUAAAAGAGUAAGUUUUAGAAAUAGUAAAAUCAGCCAUCCAAAAAUGAAGCUUUUUUUUUUUGAAAUUUCAAGAACCAUUCCAUCAGAGAAUGUGAAAAAAGUUUGAGUGUAAGACUUUACAUUUAAAAUAUAACUAAAUGAUCUUGAUUUAGAUAGGUAGUGAAUACAUUUGCAAUGUUCACAGUGUAAGAGGUCCUAAACGAUGAACACAUCCUCUCAACCCAUCUUGUAUUCUGUUCACCUAGUUGCCACCUCAGAAGCACACAUGUAACUGGUUUAUAUAGUAUUCCAGAGGUAUUCUAGUAAAGUACAAGUAUACACAGGCCGUCUGCUAAACAAAAUGUUAUGUGGCUACAAACGACAGUAACGAUCCUUUAUGUUUCUGUUGAAAAUGUACCAUGCGUGUGUUCCAUAUCAGUACAUAGGUAGCUGUAUUACUUUGUAUAAAUUUCUGCAAAUGUCACACUGAUAAACGUUUUAUUUCCAAUGGACGUCUAGGUUUGUCCCAGAAUUUUAGAAUUGUGUGAAUGAAAGCACUUAAUACAGUAUUACUUGCCAUAGAGCGUAUACAUAGGGUAAAUGUCUAGCAGUGUCAUUUCUAUGUCAAAAUGUGUUCCACAUGAAAAUUUGCAUACACGUUGAAUUUACAAUAAUUGCUCUACAUCUCUAUCUGCAGUCAGCAGCAUUCAAGAAUUCCUGCUUCCUCUCUUGGUUCCCACUGCCAACGUGUUAUCAGUCUGUGAUUUUGCCAAUAAAAUCUUUAGCAAUUAAAAAA
rnacentral:lncRNA from 1 species